GAAUCACCAUUUGUGUUCUCCUGCCUCAAUGCAACAAACUUCUGCAGACAGUUCCUUAAGUCAAUAGCUCCAAAAUAAUAAGAGAACUUCUCUAUGUUAGUGAUAUCCCCAAAAGAGCAGUUGGUGCCAACAGCUUGGUCAAAAACAGCAGCUAAUUCUUCUGUUAAUGCAGUGAGCCUCAAGUCCAUUGCUCGCAAUAAUUCAUUCUUGGAAGCAUCUGAUGAAGAAGGGUUACCAUCGUGAUCAACUGUUGGUGCUGUAGAAUUUGAGUAGCUGACAUCUG
rnacentral:misc_RNA from 1 species